GCCCCUGUAGUUCAAUGGAUAGAACCGGAGACUUCUAAGCUCUUAAUGGGGGUUCGAUUCCCUCCGGGGGCA
rnacentral:tRNA from 1 species